CUUGUUGGUGUGAUCAGGUUCACUACGGAGUCCCUGAAGGGCCAAACGAGUCGUCUGAUACCACUGAAAAGAUCAGAAACUCCACUUUACACGAGCGUUUAAAGCACAUGGUUGGAUUAGUGGUUUAAAAGUUAUUACACAAUUUACAACGAUGGCUAUUUUGAGGCCUUUGAGGGUCAAGAAAGUUGCAGUUUGUCGUAAAUAACCAAAAAUAAUAGAUGAUUUUGUGUUAAAGCGCUCAGUGAGCUGCUGAUAUUCAGCGCAGCUCUACAAUGUUUAGGUUUUCAUUGAGACCGCUGUUGGCUGUCAAAUGUGGGAAAAAAAAAAAAAAAAAUCACAAAGAAUUAAAAAGAUCUCAGUGUGUAGUGACGAUCCGUCUCAUUACACCUGAACUCAACUGAAAAAACACUCAUAUUUCAUGGCUUGCUGAGUAAUAAUAAUAAUAAUAUUUAAUAGUAUUAAAAUGUUCCUGCUCUCCUCGUGUUUGUGUCCCUGACCUCUCGUGUCAUCAGGAUGCAGCCAUCUUGUGUUAAAGGACAAACAUGCUGCUUUUCCGACCAUCUGACAGCCUGUAAAAAAAAAACAUUCCUCCACUGCCCCCCGGUGGACGACAGGAGGAUUACAACCUUGUGUUGAACAAAAUAAAAACAAUUCAUGAUUGUGGUUGGGAAGCAGACGUCGAGGAUUCAGAACAGGGCUUUAAAUUAAUUUAUUAAAAAAAAAAAAAAAAAAAAAAAAAAAAAAAAAAAGCAUUUCUCCACUGAAGCAGAACAAACAUCAAUUUGUUUUCGUUACUAUUGUUUGGAACGUGUACAAUCAGAAAACAGACUCGCCAGGUCGCCGGAACAGAGUAAAAUAAUCAAGCAAAAGAAGGAGAAGAGGGGAGGAGGGAGGAGGGAGGAGGAGGAGGAGGAGGAGGAGGAGGAGGAGGAGGAGGAGGAGGAGGAGGAGGAGGAGGAGGAGGAAGGUGUAAGAGGAAACAAAAAAAGAAGAAGAAGAGGAAGAAGGGAAAUGAAAAACACAAACAUUUAAUCAAGUGCAGGUGUGGUUUUUGGACAAAGCAGGUCUUUUUUUUUUUCUUUUCUUUUUCCUUUUUUUUUUUUUUCCUCUGUUCAAUUUACAGUUUAACUUCUCUGUUUUGUCGGAUACAUGCAAAGUCAACAUCUGGAACUACACAUGGAGAUUUCAUAUGCUUAAUAUCGGUUAUCUGUGCAAGUAUUAAAAUAUGUAGGUAUAACUAAGCAAAUUUCAUUAUGGAUAUGUCAGAACGAAGGGGGGGGGAGGAGGAAGAGGGGGAGAAGAAAAAGAAAACAAAUAUUAAGAAAAAACAAUUACACCGUUUCACCGAACAGGAGGAGGAAGUCCACGUAGGAAUAAAAAAAAAAACAAAAGUAGUGAGAUUUUUCUAAAUUAGUUACCGAAAUGUCCUCGACCUCAUCAUUGUGUACGCUUCCUUUAAUUAAAUUACUUAUCUAGAUAAUUGAAAAUACAUUAAAAUAAAAAAAAAA